GACCCCUUAGCUCAGUGGUAGAGCGUAUGAUUCCAGUCUAGGGAUUUGGGAGUUCCAUAAGGUCGUGCGUUCAAUCCGCCCAGGGGUCA